GGAGAGGUGCAAGAGUGGUUUAAUUGGCAGACCUGGAAAGUCUGUGUACCCGAAAGGGUACCAAGGGUUCGAAUCCCUUCCUCUCCGCCA
rnacentral:tRNA from 1 species